rnacentral:rRNA from 1 species
ACACGUACUGUGCGAACGUUAUUCGGAAUCACUGGGCUUAAAGGGUGCGUAGGCGGCGAUUCAAGUCAGAUGUGAAAUGCCUGAGCUCAACUGAGGCAUUGCGUUUGAAACUGAACCGCUAGAGUAUUUCAGGGGUGUGCGGAACUGCCAGUGGAACGGUGAAAUGUGUUGAUAUUGGCAGGAACACCGGAGGCGAAAGCGGCACACUGGGGAAUAACUGACGCUGAGGCACGAAAGCCAAGGGGGCGAACGGGAUUAGAUACCCCGGUAGUCUUGGCCGUAAACGAUGAGUACUGGGCGGGAGGGGGUUUCCCCUUUCUGCCGUAGCGAAAGCGUUAAGUACUCCGCCUGGGGAGUAUGGUCGCAAGGCUGAA